GCAUGGGUUCGGAUGGAUGGCAGGCCCGUCCCCCUGGGUCUCUUAUAUGCCCCGUGCCAGAGCAAACUUCAGCCUCGAACCAUUGCCCAGCCUCUGCCCAUAGGCUGCAGGCACUGAAGCAGGUUGCACAGGG